AAUUCUCAUUUUCAGCUCUUUACUCAGCUGAAAAAGAUUUGCAGACUGAAGCUUUGAGUGAAUUUCAAGAAUGGCAGCGGAGACUCAAAGCAUUUCUCUGUUACUAAACCCAUUGGCAUUUCAUAUUCAGAAAUUGGGUCUUGAACUCAAAUGCCCUCUUUGCUUAAACUUGCUGAAUAAACCUAUGUUGCUUCCAUGUGAUCAUAUUUUUUGCAACCUUUGUGUUCCAAGGUCUACCCAAGUUCAAUGUGAAUGCCCUGUAUGCAAACAUCAAUAUGUUAAU